CCCUUAGAUGUUCUGGGCCGCACACGCGCUACAAUGGCAAAGUCAACGAGCUUAUCCUAUGCUGACAAGCACAGGUAAUCUUUUCAGUCUUUGUCGUGAUGGGGAUAGACCCUUGUAAUUAUUGGUCUCCAACGAGGAAUUCCUAGUAAACGCAAGUCAUCAACUUGCAUUGAUUACGUCCCUGCCCUUUGUACACACCGCCCGUCGCACCUACCGAUUGAAUGGUCCGGUGAAGCCUUCGGACCGAUGCUGACUCGUUGGUAACGGAAAGUUGAGUAAACCUUACCAUUUAGAGGAAGGUGAAGUCGUAACA
rnacentral:rRNA from 1 species